CCAUGAUUCCCGGUCUUCAAGGUGUUAAAAAGCUAAUUCUGGGCUGCAAAGUGUGGAGUUCUCUAGAAGAAUCCAGAGAAGCAAAGACUCAAGAAGGUGGGGCCUUGAGAUCAAAGUGUGGGCAAAGUUUCCUCACCCCUCACUGAUGUCACCGUGGGCCGCUCUGUACUGUUCCUGUCCCCGGAGGCCUGCACAACAUUCCCCCGCGGCUGCCAGAGGCGUCCUCCUCUUCCAGCUUGAUCCUCAGCUUAGUGGACGGGGUCCUGGCCACCUGCUUCCGUCACACCCUGUUGGAUGACCACCGCCACCCUCUCCGUCUGACAAGAGCCUGGACUUCAGUGCAGGGGGUCAGGCGGGGUGUGCACUGACAGCAUCUGUGAUGACUUUUUCGAGUAGCCCUGUGCCGAGGGAGAGGACAUCAGCCAGCAAAAGCCACCUCGAGGGUGGAGGGACCACUGGAGGCCGGAGAAUGGUUUCUGUGCUUUUUGAACAAGAGGCCCAGCAUUUUCUUUUUCUUUUUUUUGGUACCAGGGAUAGAACUUGGGUCCUUGCGCUUGCGCAGCAGGAGGAAUUUCACAGCCAGAAAAUACUGGGACACCCCCAUCACAACCAAGCCUUUCCUGGGAGCGAUGAAACAGCUGAGGGCACAGCGGGCAGAUGCUGGCCACCACUGUCCCAAGCUGGGGCUCCCGGCAUGAGGCCACCUCCUCCACACCCCACCCCAGCCAUGAUGGCACGAGCCCCUUCCACGAGCGCAGAAUCUGCACACGUGCCUCAGGGCAGGAAUCUGAAUUCGGGAAAAACAUGACUCAAUCUGGCGUGGGCUACGGUGACCUUGCUGUUUGCAGCUGAAAGCACCUGAUCUCGAUGGGAUCCCAGGUCCAGAAGCCACACAUGGUGACUCAGGAGAUCUGAGUGGUUCUGCCCUGGCCUCCCAGACACUGGUCCAGCCCCACUGUCCUCAGGCACUACAGAGUAAGCAAGUCCGUUUUCUGAGAAUUUGCAUCCAAGAAACGAGAAGAAAUGUGUGGCUGAACAUUGCUCCAAACAUAGUCAUGGAGAAACAAAGACACGCCAACAGCACACGGGCAAAAAUAACUAACUGCAUAGUUACCACAAAAACAAUCUAAUGCACUUAUUUUGUAGCGAAAAAAUAGAUCCACUCUGUAGCAGAGUUAAAACCAUUGGAAGUAAUGAUAAUUGCUUGUGAACCAGACCCGCCCCUUCCCUGCAGCUCCCUG
rnacentral:lncRNA from 1 species